UCGUUAUACUGUUAAGCAGUCACAGGAAUUGAUCACACCAUCAGUGAUAGCAAUUAGCUCUUAAGAAGAUGGAAAAACUUGAAAAAUAUUUAUCAUGGAUAUUUUUGUUUUUCUUAAAUUGGUCCGGAGUGGUUGGUAAUUGUGGGGGCGGUGGUGAGCUGGUUUAUUAUAAAAUUAUAUAUUUUAAGGAUCAAGGAAUACCAAGUUACACAGUAUCCCAGACAGCUGUUAACGUUACCGUUUGUGGUGAAGCCUGUGCAGGGAAAAUUGGAUGUAAAUCUUUUGGCUAUCAUCCAAAAGAUAAUCGUUGUUAUUUAUACGAGGAUCGGAUAAAAGUUGGUUACACGUCGUAUUUCUCUGAUCCUGGAAUCGUAUAUUAUUGGAAAGUUGAGGAGUCCUGUCCUUCAAACUAUACUGACGUACGUGAAUUGAAACUGUGUUAUAAGAUAUACGAUACACCUUUAAACAUGAGUGAGUCAGAGGCGACAUGUGAAACGGAUGGUGGCCACCUUGCUAUUAUUGAUACAGAAGAGAAAAGAUCCUACAUGUUUGAUACAUAUGGAUUCAAUCUUGUUGCUCAUUAUUUUGGAGGAACAUGGCCGUCCCACAAUGCGAAACACCACUGGUUUAACGGUGUAGAGGUUUCUAAGUGGACGCCACACCAACCGGAUUAUGCAGGAAGCGAAUUCUGUUUGAAUACCUAUUAUUUUGCCGAUAGUAAAGAAGUACUUUUCAAUGAUUGUGAAUGUAAUAAAACAUUCCCUUUUGUUUGUGAAAUACCGGUACGAUAUAUAUAGGUAAUCCCCAUCUCAUCGUGUUAAAUAUGUGUAUUUUGUUGAUUUGUAAAAACAAUAUAUUAAAUUUUUUGACCUCCAGUCUGUGGAUAUACUAGUUAAUUCAUUAUACCGGUACUAUACGUUUUGUUUUUACCGGACUGGAAUUCCCAUUUUUUCCACAGUGAUUGACAUCUCGAACACGUCACUUAUUGACGUAACCUGCCGAUUCAAGUCAGUGAAAAUAUAUACCUUUUGACGGUAACGCAGAAAAAGCGAAUGGCAUACUUUCGACCAGAUAUGUCAGAGGUCAUUUCGCGUCAGUUUGUUAGACCCUGGUGUAGUGCAAAUGGAACAACAUAAAAUCUAUAACGAAACGAAUAUGUGGUAGAAUUUUAAUUAGACCAUAACAAACUACAUAAUAUAAUUAUUAGCAACAUUAUCACCCUUGACGCCGAUACGGUAUUUGCCACUGUAUACAAACGAGUUUUAUCUUAAUAUGAUGGGGAUGAUCAAUUAAAUAGAACACCCGAUACACUCUCUCGCUCGAUAAGAUCACAUACCUAAUAAAAUGGUUUUUUUUUGGGAUAAUGCAGUCACAUUGUUGGUCUGAUCUUUUAACACACAAAUA